rnacentral:hammerhead_ribozyme from 1 species
AUCCAGCUGACGAGUCCCAAAUAGGACGAAACUUCACGUCCUGGAU